rnacentral:rRNA from 1 species
AACGCGAAGAACCUUACCUGGUCUUGACAUCCACGGAAGUUUUCAGAGAUGAGAAUGUGCCUUCGGGAACCGUGAGACAGGUGCUGCAUGGCUGUCGUCAGCUCGUGUUGUGAAAUGUUGAGUUAAGUCCCGCAACGAGCGCAACCCUUAUCCUUUGUUGCCAGCGGUCCGGCCGGGAACUCAAAGGAGACUGCCAGUGAUAAACUGGAGGAAGGUGGGGAUGACGUCAAGUCAUCAUGGCCCUUACGACCAGGGCUACACACGUGCUACAAUGGCGCAUACAAAGAGAAGCGACCUCGCGAGAGCAAGCGGACCCCAUAAAGUGCGUCGUAGUCCGGAUUGGAGUCUGCAACUCGACUCCAUGAAGUCGGAAUCGCUAGUAAUCGUGGAUCAGAAUGCCACGGUGAAUACGUUCCCGGGUCUUGUACACACCG